rnacentral:rRNA from 1 species
GUUUGAUCAUGGCUCAGAUUGAACGCUGGCGGCAGGCCUAACACAUGCAAGUCGAGCGGAUGAAGGGAGCUUGCUCCUGGAUUCAGCGGCGGACGGGUGAGUAAUGCCUAGGAAUCUGCCUGGUAGUGGGGGAUAACGUCCGGAAACGGGCGCUAAUACCGCAUACGUCCUGAGGGAGAAAGUGGGGGAUCUUCGGACCUCACGCUAUCAGAUGAGCCUAGGUCGGAUUAGCUAGUUGGUGGGGUAAAGGCCUACCAAGGCGACGAUCCGUAACUGGUCUGAGAGGAUGAUCAGUCACACUGGAACUGAGACACGGUCCAGACUCCUACGGGAGGCAGCAGUGGGGAAUAUUGGACAAUGGGCGAAAGCCUGAUCCAGCCAUGCCGCGUGUGUGAAGAAGGUCUUCGGAUUGUAAAGCACUUUAAGUUGGGAGGAAGGGCAGUAAGUUAAUACCUUGCUGUUUUGACGUUACCAACAGAAUAAGCACCGGCUAACUUCGUGCCAGCAGCCGCGGUAAUACGAAGGGUGCAAGCGUUAAUCGGAAUUACUGGGCGUAAAGCGCGCGUAGGUGGUUCAGCAAGUUGGAUGUGAAAUCCCCGGGCUCAACCUGGGAACUGCAUCCAAAACUACUGAGCUAGAGUACGGUAGAGGGUGGUGGAAUUUCCUGUGUAGCGGUGAAAUGCGUAGAUAUAGGAAGGAACACCAGUGGCGAAGGCGACCACCUGGACUGAUACUGACACUGAGGUGCGAAAGCGUGGGGAGCAAACAGGAUUAGAUACCCUGGUAGUCCACGCCGUAAACGAUGUCGACUAGCCGUUGGGAUCCUUGAGAUCUUAGUGGCGCAGCUAACGCGAUAAGUCGACCGCCUGGGGAGUACGGCCGCAAGGUUAAAACUCAAAUGAACUGACGGGGGCCCGCACAAGCGGUGGAGCAUGUGGUUUAAUUCAAAGCAACGCGAAGAACCUUACCUGGCCUUGACAUGCUGAGAACUUUCCAGAGAUGGAUUGGUGCCUUCGGGAACUCAGACACAGGUGCUGCAUGGCUGUCGUCAGCUCGUGUCGUGAGAUGUUGGGUUAAGUCCCGUAACGAGCGCAACCCUUGUCCUUAGUUACCAGCACCUCGGGUGGGCACUCUAAGGAGACUGCCGGUGACAAACCGGAGGAAGGUGGGGAUGACGUCAAGUCAUCAUGCCCCUUACGGCCAGGGCUACACACGUGCUACAAUGGUCGGUACAAAGGGUUGCCAAGCCGCGAGGUGGAGCUAAUCCCAUAAAACCGAUCGUAGUCCGGAUCGCAGUCUGCAACUCGACUGCGUGAAGUCGGAAUCGCUAGUAAUCGUGAAUCAGAAUGUCACGGUGAAUACGUUCCCGGGCCUUGUACACACCGCCCGUCACACCAUGGGAGUGGGUUGCUCCAGAAGUAGCUAGUCUAACCGCAAGGGGGACGGUUACCACGGAGUGAUUCAUGACUGGGGUGAAGUCGUAACAAGGUA